rnacentral:rRNA from 1 species
UGCCUACGGGAGGCAGCAGUGGGGAAUAUUGCACAAUGGGGGAAACCCUGAUGAAGCGACGCCGCGUGAGCGAAGAAGUAUUACGGUAUGUAAAGCUCUAUCAGCAGGGAAGAAAAUGACGGUACCUGACUAAGAAGCUCCGGCUAAAUACGUGCCAGCAGCCGCGGUAAUACGUAUGGAGCAAGCGUUAUCCGGAUUUACUGGGUGUAAAGGGAGCGUAGGCGGUAAGGCAAGUCUGAUGUGAAAGACCAGGGCUGAACCCUGGGACUGCAUUGGAACCUGUUUAACUGGAGUGUCGGAGAUGG